rnacentral:rRNA from 2 species
GAUUAUUGGGCGUANGCGAGCGCAGNGCGGUUUUUUAAGUCUGAUGUGAAAGCCUUCGGCUCAACCGAAGAAGUGCAUCGGAAACUGGGAAACUUGAGUGCAGAAGAGGACAGUGGAACUCCAUGUGUAGCGGUGAAAUGCGUAGAUAUAUGGAAGAACACCAGUGGCGAAGGCGGCUGUCUGGUCUGUAACUGACGCUGAGGCUCGAAAGUAUGGGUAGCAAACAGGAUUAGAUACCCUGGUAGUCCAUACCGUAAACGAUGAAUGCUAAGUGUUGGAGGGUUUCCGCCCUUCAGUGCUGCAGCUAACGCAUUAAGCAUUCCGCCUGGGGAGUACGGCCGCAAGGCUGAAACUCAAAGGAAUUGACGGGGGCCCGCACAAGCGGUGGAGCAUGUGGUUUAAUUCGAAGCUACGCGAAGAACCUUACCAGGUCUUGACAUACUAUGCAAAUCUAAGAGAUUAGACGUUCCCUUCGGGGACAUGGAUACAGGUGGUGCAUGGUUGUCGUCAGCUCGUGUCGUGAGAUGUUGGGUUAAGUCCCGCAACGAGCGCAACCCUUAUUAUCAGUUGCCAGCAUUAAGUUGGGCACUCUGGUGAGACUGCCGGUGACAAACCGGAGGAAGGUGGGGAUGACGUCAAAUCAUCAUGCCCCUUAUGACCUGGGCUACACACGUGCUACAAUGGAUGNNACAACGAGUUGCGAACUCGCGAGAGUNAGCUAAUCUCUUAAAGNCAUUCUCAGUUCGGAUUGUAGGCUGCAACUCGCCUACAUGAAGUCGGAAUCGCUAGUAAUCGCGGAUCAGCAUGCCGCGGUGAAUACGUUCCCGGGCCUUGUACACACCGCCCGUCACACCAUGAGAGUUUGUAACACCCAAAGUCGGUGGGGUAACCUUUUAGGAACCAGCCGCCUAAGGUGGGACAGAUGAUUANG